CCAAAUGGGGACGGGGAUAGACAU
rnacentral:piRNA from 1 species